CAGUUUACUCUAACGGAUAAUUUUAAUCGUAUUUUCUAUCAACGGAUGGAACCAUCCGUUAGAAAUCCGUUAGUGAAAUAUUAACGGAACCUUUUCCCGUUAGAAAUCCGUAAGUGAAUUUUUGGAGCCAAAUACAAAACCUAAAUGAAAUCCCUAAAUCCUUUGCUUGUAAAAUCAAAAUCAAAAGCACUCUGAAAUCUGAACUUCCCUCCAACUUCUUCUCGGUCGUUCACUGUCGCCGGCAUCCAUCGUCCUGCGCUAUCAACGGUUCGCCGCCAUCCACUGUCGCCGGCAUCCAUCGUCCUGCGCCAUCAACUUCUUCUCGGCAUCACUGUCCACGUGCUCACUGAAAUCUGAACUUGCGUCCAACGGAACGCUCGUUCACUGCCGCAGGCAUCCAACGUCCGCCGCCAUCAAAGGUUCGCCGCCAUCUAUUUCAAAUUUCCCACUCCACUGGAAACAACUAGAGGGAAUACUCGAAAAUCUCAAAGAGAAGCCAGAUGUUGGAACUUUGUUGCUGGCACUACAACGAACUUUAGAAUUUGAGGAUGAAUUAGCAGAAAAAUUUGGAGGCCGCUCUACUAGUAGAGAGAUUGGGAAUGAGAUAGAAGAAAUUGGCAGGGACAGUAAUAGUCAAACUGUAUCAGAUAUUCGAAAAAAGUACGAAAAAAAGCUUGCAGCUAAUCAAGGAGAGCCUGAAGUAUGUAUAUUAGUCUUCC